rnacentral:sRNA from 1 species
AUUUUAGCUUUGCUUUGGUCAGCUGAGAUUUCAUCAGGGAAGAGUUUCUCAAGUUCUUUCAUUGUUGCAUCUAUGAUGUCAGAAUCAGUCCGUGAUAUCCAUUCCUCUGCUGGUGCAAAUACUAGCUCCAGCAUUGACCGGUUAGGAUCGUAAUAUUCCU